rnacentral:misc_RNA from 1 species
CCUCUCUUACUAUCCUCUCUCUCCUACUCGCUCUCCUCGCCAUCCGAUCAAAAUCCCCCAAAUCACAUCCCUCUUCUUCUCGCGCCACGUCAUCCAAGCGCACUAAAACCUGUAAUUGUUGCUGUUCCUGUAACGGGUCCAUAGAGAAUUCAGAUUCUUCCUCGGUGGCCAGUAUUACUGGGCACCUCAACGGUGUUGCUUCGGCGGUGGAUAUGGUGGCUGCGGUGUCUGACAAGGUUGCGGAGAGGCAGACAGGGGCGUCUAUGAUGGAGCAGUUGGUGCCUGAGAUUACGACACACGCGCUGAGUUAUUUGGAUUAUCCUAGUCUCUGUAGAUUGUCUAUGACUAAUUCAGUUGAUGCGAAAGGCUGCUAAUGAUGAUAAUGCCUGGAAAGCGCUCUAUCACAAGGAUUUUACAUUGGAACAGGAUACCGUGACACCUGUUAAUGGGUGGAAGGCUUACUAUGCCGCUACAAGAGCCAUUGUGAAUGCCAAUACAGAAUUUUAUAACAUCAUCAAAGAAAGGGCCCUUCCCGCAAUGCGUCGACUUUGGCUUAAUGCCGAUUAUGUGAAGUGCAUUCAUGCAUCUGGGGAACUUUUCUCAGGGUAUAAUGCUGUAAUGCANGGCAGCUCGCAUUUAAUUGGGAUCAAGGGCUAGACUUUCAGGUUAGGGAUGUACGUGCUCGGGUUCUGACCGACAUGGCUUGGGUUACCAUGAAAACCUAUGUUCACAUGGACACUGGGCCAUUUACUGUAACUAAUGUCUUUGAGUUCCAUAAUGGUCGGUGGUACAUGGUGCACCAUCACAACUCAGUGAUGCUUGAUGGAGAUGUCGACCAACAGAUUUUGCAUGCAUUUUAACAAGAGAAAGAAGAGUUGAUACUAUUGAUAACAUUAGUGUUAAUGCAAAAUAGUGGUAUUUAUCAGGAAGAAGUUUCUUGAA